rnacentral:rRNA from 1 species
CACGACUACAUUAGAUACCCGCGUAGUCCUAGCCGUAAACGAUACUCGCUAGGUGUCGGCCACGGUGCGACCGUUGUCGGUGCCGUAGGGAAACCGUGAAGCGAGCCACCUGGGAAGUACGGCCGCAAGGCUGAAACUUAAAGGAAUUGGCGGGGGAGCACAACAACGGGUGGAGCUUGCGGUUUAAUUGGAUUCAACGCCGGAAAUCUUACCGGGACCGACAGCAACAUGAAGGCCAAGCUGAAGACUUUGCCGGAUUAGCUG